rnacentral:rRNA from 1 species
AGCAGUAGCCACGGUAAUACGGAGGGUGCAAGCGUUAAUCGGAAUUACUGGGCGUAAAGCGCACGCAGGCGGUUUGUUAAGUCAGAUGUGAAAUCCCCGGGCUCAACCUGGGAAUGGCAAUGGAUACUGGCAAGCUAGAGUGUGUCAGAGGAUGGUGGAAUUCCCGGUGUAGCGGUGAAAUGCGUAGAGAUCGGGAGGAACAUCAGUGGCGAAGGCGGCCAUCUGGGACAACACUGACGCUGAGGCACGAAAGCGUGGGGAGCGAACAGGAUUAGAUACCCGUGUAGUCCCUGUCUCUUAUAC